GUGUGUGCGUGUGUGCAUUUGCAUGCGUGCUGCUGAACCAGCAGUAUUUGGUAUUUGUGCAGAUAGUAGCCGACUAUCUCUGCCCCUCAAAUACCAGUGUUUGUGUGUUUCUUGCCAAGCCUCCGGGCCCCUUUGUCCACAGUCCCAGCCAGCUGGUCAGUUUGGCGGGGUCAGCCGUCGCAGUCACACCCUCACUGACAGCACGUCCUUUUCAUCUGGGAGAUCACAGCACAACUGAGCCCUCUUGUGUUCAACUUCUUGUCAGCACUGACUGAUCAGGAAGAAUCUGCUAUGUUCAAGCAAGCAAGGAUAGAUAGGCUAAUGUCAUGUCACAUAAUAUUAUAUUAGGAUAAAAAAUUAAGAGUCUAAUUUCAAGGUUAGUACAUGAGGGUUUCUUUCUGUCCUCGUUUUUUAGAUAUUUGCUGCACCUUUAAUUGGGAUUGUGUCAGCAAUUUUGUAAUGAUCAGUAUUUCUUACAUGUAAUCCACACUGUUACUUUUCACUCUUAGCCAGCAAAUUACUUCCAAAAUGUAAUACAUUAUAGAUUACUAGUUACUGUCAUUUGAUAGUAAUUAGUUAUAUUACAAGAUUACUGUCUUAGAAUUGUAAUGCGUUACACUACUUUUGCAUUACUUUUUAGUUACUUUCACCAAAAUAACAACGGAAGUUUGACUUGGCUGGUAGCUUGUGAAUUUCACCCCUGGAUCAAUAAAGUCCACUUUAAUAUGCUAGAUCAUAUAUUAUCCAUAAUAUUUAGUAUAAUUUAAUAUAAAUAUGUAAAUUAAUUAAAGCUAUAAAAAUAGAGCAGUAUAACGUACAAAAGGCAAGUAGGAGAAAAUUUAAAAUACUCAAAUAUCAAGUACCUUACAGUUGUAUUAAAGUAUGGCAUAGUUACAUUCCACUGUUGAUAAAAUGCAAUGGUAUUUACUUGUAGCAAGCCUAAACAUUAAUUUCUGACAUAUUUCUAUCUGUCAGCAGCUGGGACACACUGCUGUCCGUGGUGACGUACCGUCACCUGUUGGACACAGAUGUUAUGAAAUAAUACUCACAGCUUUUUUUUCCUGGAAGAAAAUGUUUUGCGGCGUUGAUGAAUUCUUAAAAAAACAAAACACCACUAAAUGUUCUGUUAAAAUGCGCUGUAACUCGCAUUACUGAGAUUGUAACAGGUAUAAUAUUACCAAAAUUGAAUUAGUAAUGUGUUACUCCCAACGCUGCUCUUAGUAUGCCGUUGUUACACAAGUCACUGUGGUGAUGACGGAGUGCCUCAAGCAAACAUUAUGAAUGCCCUGGCUUUUGUUAUGUCUUGGGUGGUUUUUGGAACUAAAAAUAUUCAGUAGUAAGCUCAUGGUAUUUUUAGCACUACAGUUUAAACUCUUAUUUAAAAAAAAUUGUUAACCCAGUUAAUCACUCUGUGGUGUUUUUAUAACCUGGGGAGUGCAUACCUGUCUGACUUGUAAUUGUUGUCUUUUCUCUGUUUGCC